UACGGGGGGGGCAAGCGUUGUUCGGAAUUACUGGGCGUAAAGUGUGCGCAGGCGGCCGAGCAAGUCGAGUGUGAAAGCCCCGAGCUUAACUUGGGAAUUGCGCUCGAAACUACUUGGCUAGAGUGUGGCAGAGGGAGGUGGAAUUCCACGUGUAGCGGUGAAAUGCGUAGAGAUGUGGAGGAACACCGAUGGCGAAGGCAGCCUCCUGGGCCAACACUGACGCUCAUGCACGAAAGCGUGGGGAGCAAACAGG
rnacentral:rRNA from 1 species